GCCGGGAUAGCUCAGGGGUGGAGCAACGCAUUCGUAACGCGUAGGUCGUGGGUUCGAAUCCCAUUCCCGGCUCCA
rnacentral:tRNA from 1 species